GGGAAUUAUCUUGAAGGUUCAUUUCCUAAAACAGUUUCAAAAUGUACUAGUUUGAACCAUCUCAAUCUUUCAAGAAGCCAUUUUUCUGGUGACCCUGGAUUUUCCGAGGGAAUAUGGGGAUUGACAAGGCUUAGAACAUUAGAUCUUUCACAUAAUGAACUCUCUGGAUUAGUACCAAUUGGUGUUUCAGUUUUACAUCAGUUGAAAGAGUGUUUGUUACAAGGGAAUCAUUUCAGUGGAGAUUUACCAGCUGAUAUUGGAUAUUGUCCACAUUUGAAUAGAUUAGAUUUGAGUAAUAAUCAAUUCACAGGACAAAUUCCAAUGUCACUUCAAAAGGUGAAUGCUCUUUCUUUUCUCAGUUUAUCAAACAAUAUGAUAAAUGGAGAUUUCCCUCAAUGGAUAAGUAACAUGAGCAGCUUGGAGUACUUGGAUCUUUCAGGCAAUAGUUUAGAAGGGGCAUUGCCUGAUUCUAUAGGGGAUUUGAAAAUGCUGAAGUACUUGAGUUUAUCUGGUAACAAAUUGAGUGGAAACAUUCCAAAGUCUAUGGUGUAUUGUACUAGUUUAUCGACUAUUCGGAUAAAAGAAAAUGCAUUUACUGGUAGCAUUC
rnacentral:misc_RNA from 1 species